CGCCUGGGCCACCAACAAUGAUGCACUGGAGAAGGCCUUUCUCCAUUCGAUCAUCAACGACCGUGAGACUGGGAGGUCCAGGGGCUUCGGCUUCGUCACCUUCAGCAAUGAGAACGCCAUGAGAGAUGCCCGAAGGCAUGAACGACCAGAACUUCGACGGUCGUAACAUACCGUAAAUGAGGCCCAGUCUUGUGGAAGCUAAAAUGAAAUGUUGUAAUAUGUAUGUGUCUACAUGUAUUGUAUUUUCAGCUGUGGAUAAGGAAUUUUUGGGAUUUUAGAUUUGCUGGCCAAGUUUCCUCUAAAUUCUAUAAAGAUGAAGCAGCCAUUCUGUAUGCAACCUUGGGAUUCUUCUCCAAAGAUUGUCAAGAAACUGUUCAAGGAAAUGAGCCUUAUGGUGAAGUACGGUUUACAUCCUAGUACUUUGAAGGGUGAAUUGUUUAGAGUACUGCUAGAGCAAGGAAUUCAUGGGUUGAAAGUUUCUGAGUUGGCGAAGUCUCAUUGCAGGUCAUUUGGGUACAUAUAUGUCACAGCAGUUUUCUAAAGGCUCAUAUGUUUGGAGAUAAGGUCAUUGUUACCACAAGCACAAUGAUAAUGAGCAGUAUGUGUGGGAGCCGCUCCGAUUCAAUGUUUAUGGUAUGUGGAGUGAUGAAAGAUCAAUUAAUUAUGCAAAUGAAAUGAUGUAAUUGAUUUUGAGUGGUAUGGAGUUGUACACUUUUAUUGUAUCGAUUAUGUAAAUAAAAUGAUGUAGUUGUUAACUUCCAGUAAGUGGUAUGAACAGUAUAACAACUGUUCAUACCUUGCAACUAAGUUGAUUUCUAUGACAUAGUAUUAACAGUGUACUUAUUUUUUCUUGUAGAAGUAUUUCCUUUUGCCUUUGCGAUUAUAUCUGGUGAAACUAUAGACAAUUGGAGGUGGUUUCUGCAAUCGGAUGUCUUGCUGGAUUUUUUUUUAAUGUGAAAUGGUAUUAAUAAUGUUUUUU